rnacentral:rRNA from 1 species
AAUAGAUACCCUGGUAGUCCACGCCGUAAACGUUGGGCGCUAGAUGUGGGGACCUUUCCACGGUUUCCGUGUCGUAGCUAACGCAUUAAGCGCCCCGCCUGGGGAGUACGGCCGCAAGGCUAAAACUCAAAGGAAUUGACGGGGGCCCGCACAAGCGGCGGAGCAUGCGGAUUAAUUCGAUGCAACGCGAAGAACCUUACCAAGGCUUGACAUACACGAGAACGGGCCAGAAAUGGUCAACUCUUUGGACACUCGUGAACAGGUGGUGCAUGGUUGUCGUCAGCUCGUGUCGUGAGAUGUUGGGUUAAGUCCCGCAACGAGCGCAACCCUCGUCGCAUGUUGCCAGCACGUUAUGGUGGGGACUCAUGUGAGACUGCCGGGGUCAACUCGGAGGAAGGUGGGGAUGACGUCAAAUCAUCAUGCCCCUUAUGUCUUGGGCUUCACGCAUGCUACAAUGGCCGAUACAAAGGGCUGCGAUGUCGUAAGGCGGAGCGAAACUACCCGAAAACGUCCGGUCUCGUAGGUUCGGAUUGGAGGU